AGUGAGCGCUGGCGGUAGGCCUAACACAUGCAAGUCGAACGGCAGCACAGUAAGAGCUUGCUCUUACGGGUGGCGAGUGGCGGACGGGUGAGGAAUACAUCGGAAUCUACUUUUUCGUGGGGGAUAACGUAGGGAAACUUACGCUAAUACCGCAUACGACCUACGGGUGAAAGCAGGGGAUCUUCGGACCUUGCGCGAUUGAAUGAGCCGAUGUCGGAUUAGCUAGUUGGCGGGGUAAAGGCCCACCAAGGCGACGAUCCGUAGCUGGUCUGAGAGGAUGAUCAGCCACACUGGAACUGAGACACGGUCCAGACUCCUACGGGAGGCAGCAGUGGGGAAUAUUGGACAAUGGGCGCAAGCCUGAUCCAGCCAUACCGCGUGGGUGAAGAAGGCCUUCGGGUUGUAAAGCCCUUUUGUUGGGAAAGAAAAGCAGCAGGUUAAGACCCCGCUGUUCUGACGGUACCCAAAGAAUAAGCACCGGCUAACUUCGU
rnacentral:rRNA from 1 species